GACUUGAUUUUUUAGUCCACUCAGAAGCAUGUUGCAAGAGCUUUGGGUUUUGGGGCCACCGACGGGCGAGCCCGCCGAGGCAACGUUUCAGGGUCCACGGUAGGGUUUUUGAGCAUGUAACUCAGUAAUGAUCCCUCCGCUGGUUCACCAACGGAGACCUUGUUACGACUUUUACUUCCUCUAAAUGACCAAGA
rnacentral:misc_RNA from 1 species